UACGGGGGGAGCAAGCGUUGUUCGGAUUUACUGGGCGUAAAGGGCGCGUAGGCGGCCACCGCAAGUCGACUGUGAAAUCUCCGGGCUUAACUCGGAAAGGUCAGCCGAUACUGCGGGGCUAGAGUGCAGAAGGGGCAACUGGAAUUCUCGGUGUAGCGGUGAAAUGCGUAGAUAUCAGGAAGAACACCCGUGGCGAAGGCGGCUUUCUGGGACGGUACUGACGCUGAGACGCGAAAGCGUGGGGAGCGAACAGG
rnacentral:rRNA from 1 species